rnacentral:misc_RNA from 1 species
UACAGAGGGUGCGAGCGUUAAUCGGAGUUACUGGGCGUAAAGGGCGCGUAGGCGGUUGUGUGAGUGUGAUGUGAAAGCCCUGGGCUUAACCUGGGAAGUGCAUCGCAAACGACAUAACUGGAGUACAAGAGAGGGUGGCGGAAUUUCCGGUGUAGCGGUGAAAUGCGUAGAGAUCGGAAGGAACGUCAAUGGCGAAGGCAGCCACCUGGCUUGAUACUGACGCUGAGGCGCGAAAGCGUGGGUAGCGAACAGG